CAGAAAGGCAGGGGCGGCCAUGAUGGAUCCCAGCGCCACAAACAAGGGGCCAAGCCCGCGCCGGGCCGCCUGGAUUCCCGUAUGAAGAUGACAACAUUUGGGUCCUCUCCUUCCUUCAUCGCAAAAAGAGUGCCAAAGAUGGAAUAGCAUAAGGAAAAAGCACAAUACUGCCUUAGAUCAAAAAACAAUCCUUGGCAUGCUGAGUGAGGACAUACAUUACAAGAAGAGUCCCAAGCUCAAUCCUAGGGUGUUCGCAGAGCCCUAAAGCUUGACUGUGAUGCUGGCACAACUAGAGCCCCACAGACAUACAGAGGAGCUGCUAUCCUGCAAACACCACCAUGGCUUACUCUGCAGACACAGCCCGACUGAUGAAACUAGGCUGUCAUCCACCUA